rnacentral:rRNA from 1 species
CCUACGGGAGGCAGCAGUGGGGAAUAUUGGACAAUGGGGGGAACCCUGAUCCAGCCAUGCCGCGUGUGUGAAGAAGGCCCUCGGGUUGUAAAGCACUUUCAGUGAGGAAGAACGCCUGGUGGUUAAUACCCAUCAGGAAAGACAUCACUCACAGAAGAAGCACCGGCUAACUCCGUGCCAGCAGCCGCGGUAAUACGGAGGGUGCGAGCGUUAAUCGGAAUUAUUGGGCGUAAAGCGCGCGUAGGUGGCUUGAUAAGCCGGUUGUGAAAGCCCCGGGCUCAACCUGGGAACGGCAUCCGGAACUGUCAAGCUAGAGUGCAGGAGAGGAAGGUAGAAUUCCCGGUGUAGCGGUGAAAUGCGUAGAGAUCGGGAGGAAUACCAGUGGCGAAGGCGGCCUUCUGGACUGACACUGACACUGAGGUGCGAAAGCGUGGGUAGCAAACAGGAUUAGAUACCCGGGUAGUC